rnacentral:rRNA from 236 species
UGGCGGCACUAGCGCGGUGGUCCCACCUGACCCCAUGCCGAACUCAGAAGUGAAACGCCGUAGCGCCGAUGGUAGUGUGGGGUCUCCCCAUGUGAGAGUAGGGAACUGCCAGGCA